UUUCCUGUGGCUCAGUUGGUAGAGCAUUGCACUAACAGUUCAAAGGUUGUGGGUUCAAAUCCUAGGGAAAG
rnacentral:tRNA from 1 species